UAGCUCAGAUGGUAAAAGUGUCUACCUGCAAUGUGGGAGACUCAGGUUCAAUUCCUGA
rnacentral:tRNA from 1 species